UACGUAGGGGGCAAACGUUGUCCGGAUUUACUGGGUGUAAAGGGUGCUCAGGCGGUUUUGUAAGUCAGAAGUGAAAUCCUAGAGCUUAACUCUGGAACUGCUUUUGAUACUGCAAGGCUCGAGGGAGGUAGGGGCAGCUGGAACUUCCGGUGGAGCGGUGAAAUGCGUUGAUAUCGGAAGGAACGCCGGUGGCGAAAGCGAGCUGUUGGACCUCUGCUGACGCUGAGGCGCGAAAGCCAGGGGAGCAAACGGG
rnacentral:rRNA from 1 species